UAUUUUGACGAAAUUCUAUUAGAAUUAAUGAUUUUUGUGAUAAGCCAUUGAAAAUGCCAGCGAAUUGUUGGCGUAAUAUUUCGUAAAUAAAAACAAAAUUGAGUUCACGAGUAACAACAAAGAAGUUUUCCCACAACUCAUUUACCCU